rnacentral:lncRNA from 10 species
AUGGACAGUUUAGAAGACAUGAGAGUCAUGUCAGAGAUGAAGGACAGUUUCGUAUUCAUAGAGUAGUGCUAGCAGAGUAAUAACCUUUAUACCAGCUCCCAAAGCCACAGGUAGCCCACAAGGCUGUGUUCCCACAGCGCUAUUUGCAGAGGAAAUGAUAUCACUUGGUUGCAUUACAGGAAAGGGAUGCUAGGCCUUAGGAACCUGAAUGUUCAUAAUGA